UUCUUCCAAGUUCCAACACUCAUCAUCUUCAACAUAAAAUUUCAGAAAACAAAAAAUCAAUCUCCUCUCAAACCCAGUCACCAUCAAACAACACCUUACACAAAGAAAUCGAUCUCCAUCAUCCCCAUGACCUCAAUCAUCUUCAUCAUCUUCAUCCCCACCAAAUCCAUCUUCAUCCCCACCAUCCCUUAAAUAACACAAAAUCUCCUUUCUUUCUUAAACACCAAAGCACCACAACCCCAAAUCCUUUCCAUUUCUCCUUUCACUCAAAGAAAUCGAACUACCACCACCUAGAUCUGAAGCAAUUCCUUCUUCGAAACCACUUCCUUAUUUCCCUAAAGCCAUUCGCCAUCACUUCCUCCUCUUCUUCGAAAUUAAGAUCUAGCAGCACCACCACCACCUAGAUCUCGCAGCGCCUCCGUCACGUGGAUCUCCACUCCGCAAAGCACUGCGCCAUCACCACUUCCGUUGAGCCCAUAGAAUCAUCGUCGCCUAUCUCCUUCUCUCCCUGAAGCUCUUCACUCACCGACUUGCCGUUGUCGCGUUGCUUAACUACUUAUGUGCCUUCUUCAUCUCUACUUCAGUUAGAGGAAGAAUAAAGCCAAAGAAAAAUAGAGGCAAAGAAAGAGAGUGGGAUCGAGGGAGGAAGAGAGAUGGAGAUGGAGGACCCGAAGGGAGGAAAAGACGAUGAUGGUGGUGGUGCUUCGGUGACAACGAGGAGCGGCGGGGUGGUCUAUGGCAGGUUCAGAUUUGGGUUUAACAGAGGUGGUUCGAAAUUCUGGGUCAAAUUCCCACCUCUGAACAAGAUUAUUUUUGAAUUUUUGGUGGGUGACGGAAAAUGAGUAUGCAAAUUUUAUUACUGGAAUUUUUUGUUGCUUAAUUUAAUAUGGGUUUGUUGUUGGGAAGAUUGUGAAUUUGGGUUUGAAUUUGUGAGAAGAUGAAGUGAGUAUUCUAGGAAAAAGUGGUGGAAGCGACGCACUGAUCUGGGUUGGCUUUGCAGAUCUGAAGGUGGUUUCGAGGUUACUGUUCAUGAUGGAUUGGGAGUGGAGAAUAUGGGUCAGGGAAUGACUUUGUUUUACAUACAUAAUUAUUAAAAAGUGUGAGGGCAUAUUUGGAUUCAAUGGCAGAUGGAGAUGCUUGAUUUUCAAAUAUAUUUCAUCAGUAUUAAGGUGGUUGGAAAUCAUUAUUUGGUAGAUCAAAGCAACAUGUUUUAAAUUUUCGGCUUAAAAGCAUUUCAUGCCCCUGAUA